rnacentral:rRNA from 1 species
UAACCUGCCUGGUAGCGGGGGAUAACUAUUGGAAACGAUAGCUAAUACCGCAUAACAGUCGACAUUGCAUGAUGUUGAUUUGAAAGGGGGCAAUUGCUCCACUACCAGAUGGACCUGCGUUGUAUUAGCUAGUUGGUGAGGCAACGGCUCACCAAGGCGACGAUACAUAGCCGACCUGAGAGGGUGAUCGGCCACACUGGGACUGAGACACGGCCCAG